CGACCACAGAACCUCAGGCUGAUAGUUGUUCACUAACUCAUAGAGCUCUGGCAAUGUCUUAGAAACUGGAAAUUGCCGCUUAUGGAAUGAACUGGAUUCAUCCUCAAGGAAGAGCGGAUGAAACCAUUCAAAAAGGGAAUAGUACAGUCCAAAACGCAGAUUUUAAGGUCCUUAAGGGAUUGCAUCAUGUCUGCAGUGCUCCCUGCUAUGUCUCCAGCCAACUGCUAGCACAAGGUAUAAACAAUCAACAAUAGCAGCUCACAACUAAGAUGGGAACAUAUACAUGUACCAUGCUAAAUGAUGACUACCACUAUUUAUUAUGAAGAUCCUGAGAUGCACUCCUGCAAGAUUCUUAGUGUCUUCUAAACCAAAGCUUGAAGUCUACUGCUUAGUUUUAGGAUUGUUUAUUUUAUUAUAGUGUGAUUCUUAGAACACUGGUGAUCCACGUAUAGCAAAUCUCUUUUAGCCUGAUUAUUUAUUUAACCAGAGGGGCAAAAAAAAACCCCUACUAUUCCCAAUAGUUCUAUACUUUAAAAUAUACUCACCACGUGUAAUCUCAUCCUACUAUAAAAUCAUAAGCUUGGAUGUUCCUCUUUAAUAAAAUUACCCAAAAGUGAAUAGUCUACCAACUACAUAGAUAAGAAAAACAAUGUAUACCUUUAUACAAACACUUAGAAGUGGUUCGUUUUUAAGAGGAAUUUGUAUUUAGAUUACUGAUUGUUCCAUAUAAAAAUGUUAGAAGAGAUAUAUAA
rnacentral:lncRNA from 10 species